rnacentral:tRNA from 1 species
GCAUUGGUAGCUCAGUGGUAGAAUUUUUGCCUUCCAUGCAGGAGUCCUGGUUUCAAUUCCUGGACGAUGUA